GCGGCGCGGCUAAUUCAAGAUGGCGGAGAUGGACCAGCUGUUAGACGAGAGCUCCUCGGCUGAGGCGCUGGUCAGUCUGAAAGAAGGCAGUUUAUCCAACACCUUGAAUGAAAAGAACAGCUUCGUGAGAGCUCACAACACCAGAGGACGACAUUCCUCUGUCACGAUGGACACGGUAAGAAAUCUGAU